rnacentral:lncRNA from 1 species
UUUUUUUAUUAAUAUGCCUGACAAGAUUGUGGGUCUUGCUCAUAUGUAUCUUUGGAUGCGAUGGAUAACUCAAGGCUAUGUAGUUUUGGGUAAAAAAAAUAUUCGUGGGUCGAUUUUAGCAAAUUCUAUUUUGUCGCAAUCGACGGAAAACAACUUCUUACCCAAAACAGUUAGAGGAGCGAACGCUUGCAUCACAUUGAAUAGAUUUCUACAUAUCAACAUUCACGGGAAAAUGUCAC